UAUUGCACAAUGGAGGAAACUCUGAUGCAGUCACACCGCGUAUAGGAAGAAGGUUUUCGGAUUGUAAACUCUUUUAGACAGGGAAGAAAAAAGACAGUACCUGUAGAAUAAGCUCCGGCUAACUACGUGCCAGCAGCCGCGGUAAUACGUAGGGGGCCAGCGUUAUCCGGAUUUACUGGGUGUAAAGGGAGCGUAGACGGUGCAGCAAGUCUGAUGUGAAAGGUCGGGGCCCAACCCCGGGACUGCAUUGGAAACUGUUGAACUGGAGUACAGGAGAGGUAAGCGGAAUUCCUAGUGUAGCGGUGAAAUGCGUAGAUAUUAGGAGGAACACCAGUGGCGAAGGCGGCUUACUGGACUGUAACUGACGUUGAGGCUCGAAAGCGUGGGGAGCAAACAGG
rnacentral:rRNA from 1 species